AUUCUAGAUCCACAACGCACCAUACAGGACAUUAGCAUUGAUGACGAUGACGAUGAUAAGGACUCGGAUGUGCAGCGGCUGGCUGCACAAGACUAUGAGAAAGUCAAGGAAAAGGGAG